UGUCCUUUUGAUAAUAAUUUAAGGUCUAAUCUGCCCACUGAGUAGUUAAAUGGCCGCGGUAUUUUGACCGUGCAAAGGUAGCAUAAUAAUUAGUUUCUUAAUUAGAAGCUGGAAUGAAAGAUUGAAUGAGAAAAUGACUGUCUCAAGUUAAUUUAUUUAGAAUUUUAUUUUUAAGUUAAAAAGCUUAAAUAUAUUUAAAAGACGAGAAGACCCUAUAGAGUUUUAUUUAAAUUUUAAAUUUAAAUUUAUAGAUUAGAUUUUUUAAUUUUAUAAUUUAAAUUUUGUUGGGGUGACAAAAAAAUUAAAUAAACUUUUUUUAAAUAAUUACAUUUUAUAAAUGAUUAAUUGAUCCAAGUUUUUUGAUUAUAAGAUAAAAUUACCUUAGGGAUAACAGCGUAAUUUUUUUUGAGAGUUCUUAUCGAAAAAAAAGAUUGCGACCUCGAUGUUGGAUUAAAGUAUAAUUUUGGUGUAGAAGCUAAAAAAUUAGGUCUGUUCGACCUUUAAAACUUU
rnacentral:rRNA from 1 species